rnacentral:tRNA from 2 species
ACCUGGCUGGCUCAGUUGGUGGAGCAUGUGACUCUUGAUCUCAGGGUUGUGGGUUCGAGCCCCAUGUUGGGUG